GGGAGGGGAGGGGAGAGAGGGAGGGAGGGAGGGGAGGAAGGAGGGAGGGAGGAGGGAGGGAGGGAGGGAGGAGGGGAGGGAGGGAACAAAUGUAAUAGCAGGAAACUUCUGAAGCCCAGGGUUCCUGUGUGGGAGCCGGGAGUCUUGGUGAGGAAGACGGGAGGUGAGGACUGUGUUAUUUACUUCAUCCUCUUUUUUUGCUGACAUCCUUUGGUCUCCAGAGUUCGGGGGCACCGUAUUUACAAAUUCAUUGAACUGCAGCCUGUAUAGAACUGUUGUCUUCCC
rnacentral:lncRNA from 1 species